GAUAUUCUAUUCUCAAUGCUAAGGUAUUUAUGGCAUUCAAAAUUUAAGCUAAAAAUUGGCUUUUGAUGUAUUCAGAAUCUUUAAUCUGGAGCUUUUAGCUAUUACUCGGAUUUUUUUGUUUAGCAAACUUAUAAGAGUUUCGAGUUUAUUUCCCUGACAUUUUACUACCAUUUGAUGUAGGAUUGGAAGAGGAAGUGGACAAGUUGUGAAUAGUGAUAAAGGGGUGGUUUACACUCACAAGGACCUACCUUUGCAGGGUUGAGCCUGCACAACCCAAGUAUUAUGCAUUGGUUUUGUAUGACACUAGCAUUUGAUGAAGCCGUCUGGUCUAAUUAAUUGUCUGCAAAUUAAAAGUCUGGGAAUGGAUCAAUGGAUCGGUGGUUUUGGUUUCAAUCAGAGAUUCAAUAUCAAAUUUCAUUCCCACCCAAUGUACUAUGUAAUAGGGCAGUUGGGCAUUUCAUUGGCAUCUCAAAUUUUGAGGAUUCUGAUUAAAUCUCUUUGGAGGGAAUGACCUUAAUAAUUUUUCACUUAUAAGCCUCUUCUUUAUUUUGCUUACGACUGCUAGCUUGAUAUGCUCGAUUGCUUGGCACGAGUGACAUUGUUUUAAAGUGGUUUGACAUUCAAGAUAAAUUUACAUGUUAAACGUUGACACUGCUUGACAUGGCGUCAAGAUAUCCUAUAAUUUUUCCAAGCACAACAAAAGUUUUAGUAUUUUCUUGAAGUAUGUUAACCGUUUAUACGAAGUUUCGGUUCUAUUAUUUUGAUGGUCAUGAAUGAAGACGUCUU
rnacentral:lncRNA from 1 species